AUGACGCCCUAGAUUGUUCUGUUACACAAGGGGUACCAAAGUCCACUCUGAGCUUUUCCUCUGGGAACAGAUCCCAGAUUAUUCCAGACUUAAGACAUGGAGAUAUAUCUUGCUAGAGCCCCCAGUAUAUAUUCAGUGUGUCCUCUGAAGUAACAACCAUCCCAUCUGGCUGAGAAGUGAUGGACACGGCUCCUUAACCACACUGUACCCUCUGUUCUUGGCACCUCUCUACCAGAAAGAUAUCGACAAAUUGGAUGGAAUUCAGAGAACAGUAAGAAAAAUGAUUAAAGAGAUGGAGGCAGUGACUUAUGAGGAAAGAUGAAAAGGACUAAAUCUGUAUAGCUUGGCAAAGCAACAACUGAGGUAGCGUAUGAAAACUGUCUACAAGCAUUUGAAGAAUAUAAACACCAAGGGAAGAGAGGGAACUUUUUAGAAUGGUCUGGGGAAUAAGCAGAUUAAGAGGACAGAAUUGAAGAAAGGAGAGAGAUAUGCUAAGUUGGGGGCGGGGGCGUUUUCUCAUCAAUCGUAAAUUUUGAAAAAUAACAAAAUUAAGUCUGGAGAGAAAGAGUUGCAUCUCAUGCUUUUAGGUUACAAUCAGUGUUGACCUGCACUGAGAAAAUGUGACUUCCUAUUAUCCUUCUCAAAGUUAUUGCUGCAGAGGAAAGAAGCAUACAUCUUUUACCCACCAGGAAACCCCCAAAGCACCUAUUACCAUAAUAGCCAUGGGAAACAGAAGGCACCUCAAAUAAAGGUGGGGAAAAGAAUGAAAGAAAUGGCUUUGGCCUGUGCCUGUUUGACCUCUGAGAGAUACUUUUUGCAAGAAAUUGUUAAGUUUUGGCCCAAAAAGUGGUCGGUCUUUUAUCCUUCCUUGUG
rnacentral:antisense_RNA from 1 species